rnacentral:rRNA from 1 species
AUUGAACGCUGGCGGCAUGCCUUACACAUGCAAGUCGAACGGUAACGGGCCUUCGGGUGCCGACGAGUGGCGAACGGGUGAGUAAUACAUCGGAACGUGCCCGAUCGUGGGGGAUAACGAGGCGAAAGCUUUGCUAAUACCGCAUACGAUCUACGGAUGAAAGCAGGGGACCGCAAGGCCUUGCGCGGACGGAGCGGCCGAUGGCAGCUUAGGUAGUUGGUGGGAUAAAAGCUUACCAAGCCGACGAUCUGUAGCUGGUCUGAGAGGAUGAUCAGCCACACUGGGACUGAGACACGGCCCAGACUCCUACGGGAGGCAGCAGUGGGGAAUUUUGGACAAUGGGCGCAAGCCUGAUCCAGCCAUGCCGCGUGCAGGAUGAAGGCCUUCGGGUUGUAAACUGCUUUUGUACGGAACGAAAAGCCUUCUUUUAAUACAGGAGGGUCAUGACGGUACCGGAAGAAUAAGCACCGGCUAACUACGUG